rnacentral:lncRNA from 1 species
AAUUCGAAGAAGAGUCUACAACACAACAGGCUAGUGCAUUAGGGUUAAGAUAAACUUUUUCUAAACCAAUUUCUAACCAGUAACCAUUCGUGGCAUUCAUCCAUUUGUCGGUAAAAGUUUAUGGUGAAAAGUGAAAACAACAGAGCAUGUGUACCAAACAAGCAAAGAUUCAAGGGGGGAGAGAGAGAGGUGUCACACUUCACACAUAACAGUCUUACAGGAUGACAAAGUGGCGUGUUUGGGGUGGGGCCAAGUCUCCACUUCGACGACACCUACCCCUCAGAGCAGAUGCCACGUGAGCAGUCUAUUGAUUUACGCAACAACGUUUUUUUAACGAAUAGAGAGCAAAUGUAUGGGGCCUGCCCAGACAGAAUGGGCCCACAUGAUUGGACUGGAGAUGGGCCCCCAAAAAAGGGCUUUCAGAAGCACUGGCAAUAUUCCUUUCCUAUGAGAAAAGCAAUGGCUCAAGGAAAAAGGAGAAAGAUGGGAACCCUCCACCCAUUCGGAAGAUAAAAUAUCAAACAAAUAAAGCAAAUAAAAAAUGAAAGUGUAGCAUAAGUAUUACUAUUUUAUACUACAGUUUAGUGACAUUUGUCAUUAUUUAUAAAUAAGAAAGUGUAGAUUAAACUCUUGUUAAUGACGAGCUGAAAUCAAAUUAUUAUAAUUAUUGUGUGGCUUAAUUUAAAGAGAAAUGCUAUGGAUAUCAAAUUUUUUAAAGGAAAACUAAUGAAAAUGGCUUAAAAACUUUGAGUUUUAAUGAUAAGGACAAAAUAA